rnacentral:misc_RNA from 1 species
ACACCUCAACUCUCAUGGUUUGCCGUGAUGAGCUUGGACUUUGGGGGUCUUGCUGGCCUAUGGGUCGGCUCCUCUCAAAUGAAUCAGCUUGCCAGUGUUUGGUGGCAUCACAGGUGUGAUAACUAUCUACGCUUGUGGUUUUCCAUCAGGUAACCUUCAGUGAUGGAGGUUCGCUGGGGCUCAUAAAUGUCUCUCCUCAGUGAGGACAGCUUUUUGAAC